GACGAACCUUGCUAACGUUAUUCGGAAUUACUGGGCGUAAAGCGUGCGUAGACGGUUAUGUAAGUCGGGUGUGAAAGCCCCGGGCUCAACCUGGGAAUGCCAUUCGAGACUGCAUAGCUAGGGUGCGGAAGAGGGAAGCGGAAUUUCCGGUGUAGCGGUGAAAUGCGUAGAUAUCGGAAGGAACACCAGUGGCGAAAGCGGCUUCCUGGUCCAGCACCGACGUUCAGGCACGAAAGCGUGGGGAGCAAACAGG
rnacentral:rRNA from 1 species